UUCCGCGCCGGCUCUUUCGGAGUUUGAUUUGCGGAGCAGGGAGGCACCCUAAGUGUCUGCCAUCAGUUCCCGGGAUGAAUGGCUAAAUGAAGGCGCUGAUGAACAAUUUGCAUCUAAGGGGCCGACUUGGGGUUUGGUGAAUAGCCCAUGAUUGUAGAUAAACACCACCUGCCACGAUGCUCGCGCCGCAGCCCCCCUUCUCUGGAGGGCCUAGCUGUCCUGGAGUUCACUAUGAAGACCAGGCUGGCUUCCAGUUCACAGAGAUCUACCUGCCUCUGCAUCCUGAGUGCUGCGAUUAAGAGGCCUACCAUGCCAGGCCUCAGAGAACAAUUUUUGGAAAUUGAUCUCUUCUACCAUGUAGGUCUGGCGAUCAGAAUCAGGUCACCAAGCUUGGCAGUGAGCAUCUCUACCGGAUGAGGCAUUUUGUCAGACCUGAAACACUUUGAAGAUAGAAUCUUACUGUGUAGCCUGGGUCUGGCCUCCCAUGGGUGCACUUCAGCUUCCUGCCUCAGCCUAGCAGGCUGCUCUGUCACCAUCUGCCACCACCAGGUGUAUGCUGCUGAUAAAAGGGCCCCUGCCACCUGGAGUUUGCUCAAACUCACUCUCUCUCUCUCUCUCUCUCUCUCUCUCUCUCUCUCUUCUAUAUCUCUCUGUCUCCCCGUCUGCGUGGCAACUUCUCUGGCCUCAUGGCCUCAUUCUCUGAGAAUGGUAAACUUGCUCAGAGCUGUUCCCAAAUAAAUUUGCUUUUA
rnacentral:lncRNA from 1 species